rnacentral:misc_RNA from 1 species
GAUGAAGAACGUAGCGAAAUGCGAUAAGUAGUGUGAAUUGCAGAAUUCAGUGAAUCAUCGAAUCUUUGAACGCACAUUGCGCCCUAUGGUAUUCCGUAGGGCAUGCCUGUUCGAGCGUCAUUCAAACCUUCAAGCUCUGCUUGGUGUUGGGCGUCUGUCCUGCCUCACGGCGCGGACUCGCCUCAAAUUUAUUGGCGGCCGGCACGUUGGCUUCGAGCGCAGCAGAAACGCGAACUCGAGACCGGCGGAUCGGCUCCCAGAAGCUACCCCCAUGAAUUUGACCUCGGAUCAGGUAGGGAUACCCGCUGAACUUAAGCAUAUCAAUAAGCGGAGGA